AGGGAAAAGACAGUGAUGUACUUCCAAGCACAUAUCUGAAUUGUAUGUGUGGACAGAAUUAAGCUGAGUCUUUUCCAU